UCUCUCUCAGGGUAACAUCUGGAGAGUUUCCAGUACUCUACCAGUCUCGGCUACUGGGGGGAGAGUUAAGUAGAGGCCUACCCCUUCCAUUCCUAGCUUGGCCAGUGGCUAGCGAAUGGAAGGCAAUCUGGUACAAGA